ACAAUAUAAACAGUUUUUUUUUCAAAGCACAACAAUAUCAAACAAACCUUUAAACGGAUGUCGACACGAUGACAAAAAGCAUUUAUCACCACCUCUCUAUGUGGUCUCUGUUUCACGAGCAUAUGUGCCUGCUAGAUUGCUACCAUACUUUUUCAUGGGAAUCUUUCUAUAGCCUUAGUGGAAUUGAGAAUCAUUUGAAAUUUGGAAUUUUGGAUUACCAUCCAUGUUGUUUCAAGCUUCAAACAACAUGUAGACGUUUGUUUGCUUCAUGGGGUGCAGCAUGGAGCACUAAUGGUAGUGGAUUCCACAGAGCAGGCAGAGGAAAGAACAACUGGUGACCAAAAGACACUACGUAGGCUGGCCCAGAACAGAGAAGCAGCAAGGAAGAGUCGCCUAAGGAAGAAAGUAUAUAUCUUUACUUUCCAUCAGCACGUAUUUGAAUGUCUUUUUUCUAUUUAAUUUCAUCGAGAGCUUCCCUAUACCUUUUUAGUUCGUGACAUCUUAGACUAAUUAUAUAAUGUUACGUGAGAGUGUUAAAACAUAUGGGAUCACGUUAUUUAUUUGGCGUAACACACUGGCAUACCAGGGUGUAGGUCUGUAACCCAGCGUCUAAAUCUUUUAGCUAUGUUGAGACAAAGUCUCGGUAUCAACCCUGAAGAUUCACUGCCAGGUCUAUAAAAAUUAAGUUUGUCUUAAAUGCUUCUCAGCCUUCUCACUCUCUUAAUAGCAAAGGCCUAUUUUUUUAGCCUCCCUCGCCUUUUUCACUUCUCUUUUGGUUUAAUUUUGUGGAUUUUUGGCGUCUGAUUUUGGUUUUUGAUGUGAUUGACUUCUUUGGUGUUUAUUUUUGUAAGUUUUCUCAGUGGUAUAGUGACUGCCAGAAUUAUUGGGUUUUCGUUUAUUUGAAUAAUUUUUAAGUCGCCGGGUCUGUAUGAUUUUUGGUGAGUUUUGUGAUUUUUUUACUGGCUUUAGUUCCUUUUUUGGUUUGUUCUGUAUAUUUACAUGGGUUUUGUCUGUUCAUUUCUUUUUUUCUGGAUAUCGUUUAGAUUGAUUCUAUGAAUGUGUCGUUGAGUUUUGCUUUUUAUUUCAGGAGGUGCAGCUUUUCGUUUUAUUUUGGCCUUUUUUAUCUGAUGUUGUAACAUUUUUGUAAUAGAGAUGAGUAAUUUACAUUUUUUUUUCAAGUUGUUCUCUAACGAAGUAAUAAUUUUGUAUGAAUAUUGUGAGACUUCACUUUUAUAUAAUCUGAUGCAUAAAUGUGUUUGAUGUUAUUUUAUGAAUAUUUUAAAUGGGUUAAGAUGCAUAUCGUUGUUUAAAGGGUAUAAAAAGUAGUUAGCUGCUGUUUUAUGUAUUUUUGGGGAUUUUAUCAAAUUUGAAAAAGAUGGAGACGAAAUUGAUUUCGAACAAAUUAAAGAAUGCAAAAUUUUGGUUAUUUGGUUAUUGUUAUUAAUUGGUAAUGAGCUAUUCAACAUUUUUAUUUUAAUUGUGAGAACAACUUCCGAAUGACUUCCUCCUCCUAUGUGUCUUCAAAAGUUGUUUUAGUGUACUAUACAAAGGUUUUGACCUGUAUGUCACCGAAGCCAAUACCUGAAGGGGGCAAAUUUCUUGGGCCGAACCUGUUUAAGUUGACUUUGAUGUGCUGGAAGAAAUGGAGGAAUUUUACUGGCGCUUGAAUUGUUAAGUUGACUUGGCUUAGCAGGAUUUGGGCAAUCUCAGAAUUGUCAAACAAAACCUUUGAUUUCCUGGAUAGUUUUUGACUUGAUAUUAAUCUAAUUACAUGUGAAGGGACAGGUCAUAGCUCUAACAAUUAGAGAGAUAUAGUGACUCUUGCUGCCUUCUUAAUUCUUGUUCUCCUAUUGUAUACAAUGCAGUUGAUCUUUUGUGUUAUUUGAUACUUUUUUUAGUGGUUCUUGAUAGCUUGAGUGAUGCUUAUUGAAAAAAAAAGGGUUUCAAAAUACUAUGCUUUCACGUUUCGGCAUCUUUCCGUUUCUGUUUCAAGGAUUUUUGCACUAAGAGUGAGUGAUUCUAAAAUUAGGGAAUUGUUAACAUCAGUCUCUGAAAAAACAAAAAUGUGAUCAAUUCUUUUGACAAAUGCAGGUGUUUGAAAAAUUCAACUGUGCAAGUUGUGAAAAAAAAAAAGGGAUUUCGAAAUACUGUGCUUUCACGUUUCUACAUCUUUUUGUUUCUGUUUCAAGGAUUUCUGCAUAAAGGUGAGUGAUCUAAAAUUAGGGAAUUGUUAACAUCACAUUUUAAGCAUUUGUUUUCGUUCUGUUUUUAAGUUUGAAUAAACUUUGGUAUUCUUUUAGCUUUUAUCGUGUUUAAAUUGAAGUCCUAAUUUCAGUGGAUUGUUCAUGAUUAGUGCGUUAUGUUGUUUUACUAUGUGUUUUAUGUGUUUGUUAAUUUAUCGGAGUCUUCACAAGAAAUGUUGUGUACAAAGAUAUUUUGCU